UACAGAGACUGCAAGCGUUAUUCGGAUUCACUGGGCGUAAAGGGUGCGCAGGCGGCCAAGUGUGUCAGGUGUGAAAUCCCGAGGCUUAACCUCGGAACUGCGCCUGAAACUACUCGACUAGAGUAUUGGAGAGGGUAACGGAAUUCACGGUGUAGCAGUGAAAUGCGUAGAUAUCGUAAGGAAGACCAGUGGCGAAGGCGGUUUCCUGGACAGUUACUGACGCUCAGGCACGAAAGCAUGGGGAGCAAAAGGG
rnacentral:rRNA from 1 species